rnacentral:rRNA from 1 species
CUUAACGGGCGUGGAUUUCAGCGGCUCAAUGAGGCGCUCCUCACCCUCAUCCCUAAGAAGCAGGAUGCGGCAUCCCUCUUCGACUAUCGGCCUAUCAGUCUCAUUCAUCUCAUUGCAAAGCUAUUCGCGAAGGCGCUCUCCCUCCGACUAGCACCGCAUCUGGGCCAAUUGGUCUCCACGAACCAAAGCGUGUUCAUUGCUGGCCGGAGCAUCCACGACAAUUUUCUCCUCGUUCAGCAAACGGCCAGACUCCUCCAC